UACGAAGGGGGGCUAGCGUUGCUCGGAAUCACUGGGCGUAAAGGGUGCGCAGGCGGAUUGGCAAGUCAGAGGUGAAAUCUCACGGCUUAACCGUGAAACUGCCUUUGAUACUGCUAAUCUUGAGUUAGGGAGAGGUUGAUGGAAUUCCAGGUGUAGCGGUGGAAUGCGCAGAUAUCAGGAGGAACACCAACGGCGAAGGCAGCUCGCUGGGACGGUACUGCACUGAGGCGCGAAAGCGUGGGGAGCGAACAGG
rnacentral:rRNA from 1 species